CAACAGGGUCGCAAGAAGCGUGUGGAAAAACCAAGGCGCAAAAUAACUGCCCAUGAACUGAGAAAAGUCAAGCGUGCAGCUGCCACGAUGCCACUUGCCACCAGUUUGGCCAUAUUUCAGAGCUGCAACAUCACUGGAGUGCCCAAAAGCACAAGGUGUGCAAUACUCAGAGACAUGGCCAAGAUAAGAAAGGCUGAAAGACGACCACCAGUGAACAAGACACACAGUCAAGACUGGACACAGUCAAGACUGGGCCAAGAAAUAUCUCAAGACUGAUUUUUCUAAGGUUUUAUGGACUGAUGAAAUGAGAGUGAGUCUUGAUGGGCCAGAUGGAUGGGCCCGUGGCUGGAUUGGUAAAGGGCAGAGAGCUCCAGUCCGACUCAGACGCCAGCAAGGUGGAGGUGGAGUACUGGUUUGGGCUGGUAUCAUCAAAGAUGAGCUUGUGGGGCCUUUUCGGGUUGAGGAUGGAGUCAAGCUCAACUCCCAG